rnacentral:rRNA from 1 species
GACGAACGCUGGCGGCGUGCUUAACACAUGCAAGUCGAACGGAAAGGCCCUGCUUUUGUGGGGUGCUCGAGUGGCGAACGGGUGAGUAACACGUGAGUAACCUGCCCUUGACUUUGGGAUAACUUCAGGAAACUGGGGCUAAUACCGGAUAGGAGCUCCUGCUGCAUGGUGGGGGUUGGAAAGUUUCGGCGGUUGGGGAUGGACGCGCGGCUUAUCAGCUUGUUGGUGGGGUAGUGGCUUACCAAGGCUUUGACGGGUAGCCGGCCUGGGAGGGUGACCGGCCACAUUGGGCCUGGGAUACGGCCCGGCCUCCUACGGGAGGCAGCAGUGGGGAAUAUUGCACAAUGGGCGGAAGCCUGAUGCAGCAACGCCGCGUGCGGGAUGACGGCCUUCGGGUUGUAAACCGCUUUCGCCUGUGACGAAGCGUGAGUGACGGUAAUGGGUAAAGAAGCACCGGCUAACUACGUG